UUUGGACACUAGAUGAGGUAACCGCUUGAAUUUAAAAAUUGGAUACAAACAUUUACAGUGAUCUUCAACAUCACAAAUUCAAGCCAAGAAAGAAAAAGAAGAGACAAAUUAAGAUGGAGGACGAUGUUGUGGUUCUUUUAGAUGUUUGGGGAAGUACUUACGGAAUGAGAAUAAGAAUCGCUUUAGCAGAAAAAGGAAUCAAAUACGAGUGCAUAGAAGAAGAAAACAUUCUUGUAAAGAGCCCUUUGCUUUUAGAAAUGAAUCCGGUUUACAAAAGGGUUCCUGUUUUGAUACAUAACGGGAAACCUAUUUGUGAAUCACUCUUGAUUCUUGAAUAUAUUGAUCAAGUUUGGAAACACAAGUCUCCUGCUCUUUUACCAAGUGAUGCUUACCGGCGGGGGGUCGCUAGAUUCUGGGCCGCAUAUCUAGAUGCAAAGAUAUACGAAGGAACUGCGAAGAAGGUGUGGAUGAGUAGCGGAGAAGAACAAGAAAAAGUUAGUAAAGAGUUUAUAGAUUGCUUGAAGGUGAUAGAAAAAGAGCUUGGAGAAAAGCCUUAUUUCAGUGGUGAAGACGAGAUGGGGUUUGUAGAUGUGGCUUUGAUUCCCUUGUACUGUUAUUUUUAUCCUCUUGAGAUGUUUGGCAAGUUCAGUGUAGAAACUGAGUGUCCUAAGUUAAUGAAUUGGGCGAAAAAGUGUAUGAAGAAAGAAAAUGUGUUUGGGUCACUUGUUGAACCAGAAAAGAUAUAUGAAGCCAUGUUGGACUUCAGAAAGACCUUGCGACUAGCGUAGGCAUAAGAAGCGCUGCGUUUUCUUCAUCAAUGGUAAACCACAGGUUUUAUGUACCAAGAUUUUUAAUGCCAAAACAUCUUGGGUUUUGGUUACGACUUAUACACUGUGGUAAAUAAUUUUUUUCAUAGCCUUGGAACCCAAGAAAUAUAAGUCGGAACCAGAUUGGAGAGAGAGUUUUUAAAUCGGGCGAUCAACUCGGUCAAAAAAUUUUCGUUUCCCGUGAAUUCAAGUAAAUCUCAGGUGAAUCAAUUAAAAAGGAGCUACGAAGUUCUAAAAAGAUAUAAGAAUAUAAUUAUUCCAAGUAUCCAAGUUCCCAAGUCCAAAAGAAGUGGAAGAAGUGCGACAAAAAUGAACAAAACGCUCAAAAUCAAGAGACGGUCCAAAGACCGAGAUUAAAUCAUUCAAAUCAAGGAUUUAUCACCACCAUCUUGACGAUAAUUAAAGAUAAAAAUAAUGCAAAACGAAUGAGAUCAUUCCGAGUUCGGACGAGGAAGUUACGGCCAAAACGAGUUUUAUUAAAUACCGAAGACAAGCCAGUUUGCAAACGGGUAUGCAAACGGGGGUAACUGAAAAAUAAGUUUGUAAAAUGGUUUGCAAACUUAUUUCCAAGUAUUUUAUUACAAAGUUUAAGUUUUCAAACUGGUAUGCAAACUAUUGAAGGCCAAAAUUCCCGAACUAUCUUUAGGGUCUUUCUUUACUGCUUUUUAGGUCGGUUUCCAGAACCGACUAGGAUUCUUGAAGGCCAAGCAAUGUAAACCUAUA